UGGCGGACGGGUGAGUAAUGUCUGGGAAACUGCCUGAUGGAGGGGGAUAACUACUGGAAACGGUAGCUAAUACCGCAUAACGUCGCAAGACCAAAGAGGGGGACCUUAGGGCCUCUUGCCGUCGGAUGUGCCCAGAUGGGAUUAGCUAGUAGGUGGGGUAACGGCUCACCUAGGCGACGAUCCCUAGCUGGUCUGAGAGGAUGACCAGCCACGCUGGAACUGAGACACGGUCCAG
rnacentral:rRNA from 1 species